rnacentral:rRNA from 1 species
CCUACGGGCUGCACCAGUGGGGAAUAUUGCACAAUGGGCGCAAGCCUGAUGCAGCCAUGCCGCGUGUAUGAAGAAGGCCUUCGGGUUGUAAAGUACUUUCAGCGGGGAGGAAGGUGUUGUGGUUAAUAACCGCAGCAAUUGAGGUUACCCGCAGAAGAAGCACCGGCUAACUCCGUGCCAGCAGCCGCAGUAAUACGGAGGGUGCAAGCGUUAAUCGGAAUUACUGGGCGUAAAGCGCACGCAGGCGGUCUGUCAAGUCGGAUGUGAAAUCCCCGGGCUCAACCUGGGAACUGCAUUCGAAACUGGCAGGCUAGAGUCUUGUAGAGGGGGGUAGAAUUCCAGGUGUAGCGGUGAAAUGCGUAGAGAUUCGGCGGAAUACCGGUGGCGAAGGCGGCCCCCUGGACAAAGACUGACGCUCAGGUGCGAAAGCGUGGGGAGCAAACAGGAUUAGAUACCCCAGUAGUC